rfam:Felis catus isolate Cinnamon breed Abyssinian chromosome B2, whole genome shotgun sequence.
UAGGAAGGUCAGGGCCAGGACCCCCCCCCCCCCCUGAGCCCAGGAUAACCCUAAAAGUGGGGGGGCA